CAGUAGCCACGGUAAUACGAAGGGUGCAAGCGUUAAUCGGAAUUACUGGGCGUAAAGCGUGCGUAGGCGGUUUGUUAAGUCUGUUGUGAAAUCCCCGGGCUUAACCUGGGAAUGGCAAUGGAUACUGGCAAGCUAGAGUGUGUCAGAGGAUGGUGGAAUUCCCGGUGUAGCGGUGAAAUGCGUAGAGAUCGGGAGGAACAUCAGUGGCGAAGGCGGCCAUCUGGGACAACACUGACGCUGAGGCACGAAAGCGUGGGGAGCAAACAGGAUUAGAUACCCCUGUAGUCCCUGUCUCUUAUAC
rnacentral:rRNA from 1 species